CAGAAAAGCAAGAGGAAAGGGCAUGAAUAUACAAAUAUUAAGUAUUCUUUAGCGGACCAGACAAGUGGAGAUCAGAGUCCCCUCCCACCUUGUACUCCAACGCCACCCUGUGCAGAAAUGAGAGAAGAUAAUGCUAGAGUCUAUGAGAAUGUGGGUCUGAUGCAGCAGCAGAAGAGUUUCAGAUGAGGAGACCUGCCAGAACUUCAGCACAGAAACAGAUGUGGACUUUCACCCUUUCCCUAAAAAAGUUCAAGAACAGAUGCAAGAAAGUCUAUGUGAAGAAUGAAUUUGGAUCUGGAAGGCUUGCAUUGUGGCUGACUACCUUUUGAUAAGCAAAAUUUGAAACCAUUUUAAGACCAUUGUAUUUUAACUCAACAGCACCUGAUUUCCAGUUCCUUAUUUCCUCAGACAAGAAGAAAUCAUUUCUACAAUGUAGACAAUGUUAUAUUUUAUAGCAUUCUGUUUUAAAUUGAGGAAGUAGUUAAAUUGUGCUCUAUAUUUUACAGAUUGUGGGAAUUCAAAUUCUAGUUAUGGGCAUUUUUUUAAUAACCUUAAUUUAAUUUUUUUUCUCUUUGAAGGGGAUGAUAGGGCACUUGUAAGAAGAAAUGAUUGGAAAAAUUAAGUAACAACAUCCUAGAGAAGUGAGAACAAUCUCAUUUACCAUCGCUUAUCCAGUGGUUGGAUGACUCAUUGUGGUGGCUUUUUUUUUUUUUUU